rnacentral:lncRNA from 10 species
GUGGUAAGUUCCAGUUAUUGUUUUAUGCCUGGGAUACACCACUGAACACAACAAUCCAAUGGCCCCACCCUUGUAGAAUGUGGAACAUACAUCACCACAGGGAGAGGCGAAGAGUAAACAGUCAACAAAACAUACAAGGAAAUUAUGUUUUAAAAGUAUGUUAGAAGUUGAAGAGUGCUAUAGAAAAAGGGAGGGGAGCCUAGAAAGGGGACUGCAGGAGCCAGGGUGAGAGGACAGGCAGCAGCUUUAACUAGGAUGCCAAGGUAAUCUCACUGAGACCGUGGAAUUCAAGAAAGUAAAUGAAGGAGGACAAACCAUAUGGAUAUUUUGGAGAAUAGUGUAGACAGAGCACCCAGUGCUCUCAGCAAGAAAGCUGGUGUGGCUAGAGAGAAAUGAAGAAGGAGAGCAGCAGGAGAGCCAGAGGGCUAAGAAGGAGUCUGGAUCAUGCAGCACCUGCCUCCAGAUUGCUCGAGGCCACCUGGUUGACUUUUGCCUUGGAGUCGGUCCAGAAAAGCAUUAUUUACCCUUUAAAACAAUGAAAAAUGUGUGUGAGUAGAAAACUUGCUGCAGGGCUGAGAGAUUUCUGAGAAUCUAAUGUGUUGUAUGAACUGACCAUGGGGAUAGCUUCCUGGCUUCAGCUUAGAAGAAAUCCACAGAAACUUCUCUUCACACUAACCAUAUGACAUGCUGUUAACCCCUCUUUACUGGAGCUGGUGCCAAUCUUGGCUCAAGCCAAAGGGGAUACGAAUUCUUAACCUGAGAGUUUCAGGCACUCAUCUCCUGCCAGUUCAGCAAGACCCUAGUUCAAGAAAGAAACUACAGCCCUCAGAAUCAUGCCAGGUAUGAACCUCAGAGGCUGGAGAGAGAAAGAAGCCUCAGCAUGAACCAAAACAUGAAGAAGAACCAAAGAUAGCUCUAUGGCAUUAUUGUUGCAAGAUAGAUGUCCUUCCUAUAUUCCCUGCACUCCACUGCCAGUCUUGCUAAAGUAAACCCCAUACAUGAAAAGCAGAAAUGGAAGAUUAUAAUUUCCACAUGGUGAGGCACCCCUUCUGCCGUGUUUUGCCCUAUUCCCGGAGCCUAGGACACAGCCUUUAUGGAGUGUAGCCUGAUAAUGUAGUUACUGAAUGAAACAAAUCUUCCUGGCACACGUUCUUCACCCCUGAAAACAACAUGGAUGAUGAGUGCAGACUGCAAAACAGCUCACUGGCAAUUGCUCUCAAUUCACUCAAACCCUGCGAAGACUGAUGCCUUGUCAUGAAGACAUAAGAGAGAUAUAAAAGAGCGAAACACCACACAUGAAGCUAAGAACUGUUAGGGAGGAAGAAAAGACGGGAAGAGAGCAACAUACAUCAUCCUAUUACGGAGGCAAGGAAAGGGGAGAAGAGAUAAAGACCAGGAGGGAAACGCGGACGGGAGCUGAUGAGGCAUCACCAUGCAAGAACAUUGCUCCAGAUGGCCGAAGGGAAGGUGCUGGCAUCGCUGCACUCAGGAUUAUUAUCCUAUAACUAGCAAAGCAUAUUUACUAAGGAGAGGCUGGUUUUUCUUCCGUACUAAGAAGGAUAAUUUCAGCUAAUUAAUUUGUUCUGCUGAACUGACAGCCACCGAGGAUGUGUCUGCAUGCCUUAUAAGCAUAUUCUUGGUUCAUUUACUGAGAUCCCACAGAGAAGUUCAAUAUCUAGAGUUAAGCAAAUAAAAAAUAAGUUGUUCUUGUUUCAAGGACCAAGCUCGGGACAUGAAAAGCAUCAAAGUGCUCUAAGCAGGAGGACAAUGACAUGCAACAUCUGAGGCAUUGUUAAGGCCUGGCCUACUCAAUGCAUAUUGUCACACGCCAACCAUUUUCCAGAUACCUAGGUUCAUGCUAAAGGUACAGAUAUCAGCACAGCUCCACCCUGAAAUAAAUCACAGUAUAAUGAGGCAGACACACCCAGAAACAACUCUGACACAGGGCAAAAAGAAAUGAGUUGCUAAACACAAAAUUAAGCUACAUGACAUGGGAAUACAAGGAAGGAAUGCAAACAGGAGAAGGGUGUUCAACACUUUGUGUUUGUGCACAUCUUAUCACUGUGCUAUGCAAAUCUCUACAUUCAUACAGAGCUGCAUACAAACGAGGGUAGGUUGGUGAUAUGAUAAACAAAAUACCAUCCUAGAGAUUGAAAGUAUGGAACUUCCUACAAACAUUGGCCAAGUGGUAUGUGGUAAAUGAGGACAACACUGCAAAUAGCGCCACUGCCUGUGGCCACCCGAUGCAGUGCUCACCCAGGAGGGCUGCUCUGCUGGGGAGCUGCAGGAUGGCACCAAUAGCUCUGCUUCGAGCCCAGGUCAAUAAUAAGAAGAGGGGUUGCCAUUUCCAGCAAGAGGUUGCAAACAUCAUUUCUCUGGGCUCCAAUUGUCUGAUGGUGCCCUGUUCUACAGAAGGGUCAACUAUACAACAGACAGGUGUGUGUAAAGCUGGAUGCUUAAGAAAUGUGACAAGGUUAGAGGGAAAACAUGCUCCAAAGCAAAGUUUCAGUGUGGUAAUUGAAGAUGAACAUGGGGUCAUUUUAAAACCAUGUCUGAAUCCCAACAGAGCAUGUUCCGACAUGGUUCAGCUUGACUGCUUUAUGUAAACAUGAAAAUGCCAUCGCCUGGCAAAACAAACUUCUCCCAGGAGAGCCUGUUCUCUCAACACAACAAGAGGAAAGGGAUAGUGGAAGCAGGAGAGUUGAGACCAUGAAGUCAUGAAGUUCAAGAAUGCCUUCCUUUGAAGGUUUAAUACAGAAAAGCUUUCGGGGGAAGGAGGAGAGUUUAAAGAAGUCCUGGUUCUCCGGCAUCCACAGUAAUACCUUUGCCUUGAAGGAGAAAGAUGGCCUUGGCUAUCAAGAAUGGGGAGAAAAGGCAGAAGCUACCACCCAAAAUUUUCAGAGCACCAACCAAAUCAAAGGAAAUAAAUACUAAUGGGUGAAGUAGAGUUUAAAAAUAACACAAGUAAUGUACACUCUCCCCUUACUAUUGUUUUUAAUUUUUAAUUUUUUAAUUGACAGUUUGUACAUAUUUAUAGGAUACAAUUUGAUAUUUUGAUACAUAUGUAUGUUGUAAAAUGAUCAAAUCAGGGCACUUAGUGUGUCCAUGAUCUCAUGCAUUUAUCAUUUAUUUGUAGUGAGAAUAUUCCAAAGCCUCUUAUCUAGCUAUUUUGUAAGGUACACUAUCAUCUUACUGUCAACCACAGUCACUCCACUGUAUAACAGAACAUCAAAACAUAUUCCUCUUAUCUAAUUGUAACUUUGUAUUUGCUGUUGCUAGUUCUAUCAUUUUAACAGAGAGAGAAAUAAACUUCCAGCUACAACAAUCAUGGAAUCACAGCUCUAUGUCUCCCACCUAAAAAUAUUUCCUACACAAAAUGCAAGGUAGACGUAGGUUUCAAAACUUAUCUGCACUCUAUUUUAUGAUCUUUGUUUUCAUUUUCAUAUAUGUGAGCAUAUUUCUAUUAUGUUAUUAAAAUGUGGUAGUAAUUGCUGCAUGGUAUUUAUUCCAAACUCCAAAACCUUCAAAUCCUGUAUCACUGAACAAACUGUUUCAAAUUUCCCAUUAAUCUUAUGUUAAAAAUAAAC